CGGGUGCACUGAUCCAGCCGGGCCUUUCCCUCUGUGGAACCCCAUGGCCUUCACUGGCUGCGGUGGGGAAACAGGACUUUUACUUUGAAAAAAUUAGAGUGCUCCAGGCAGGCCUAUGCUCGAAUACAUUAGCAUGGAAUAAUAGAAUAGGACGUGUGGUUCUAUUUUGUUGGUUUCUAGGACCGCCGUAAUGAUUAAUAGGGACAGUCGGGGGCAUCAGUAUUCAAUUGUCAGAGGUGAAAUUCUUGGAUCUAUUGAAGACUAACUACUGCGAAAGCAUUUGCCAAGGAUGUUUUCAUUGAUAAGGAACGAAAGUUAGGGGAUCGAAGACGAUCAGAUACCGUCGUAGUCUUAACUAUAAACUAUGCCGACUAGGGAUCGGACGAUGUUAUUCUUUGACGCGUUCGGCACCUUUCGAGAAAUCAAAGUGCUUGGGCUCCAGGGGGAGUAUGGUCGCAAGGCUGAAACUUAAAGAAAUUGACGGAAGGGCACCACCAGGGGUGGAACCUGCGGCUUAAUUUGACUCAACACGGGGAAACUCACCAGGUCCAGACACAGUGAGGAUUGACAGAUUGAGAGCUCUUUCUUGAUUCUGUGGGUGGUGGUGCAUGGCCGUUCUUAGUUGGUGGAGUGAUUUGUCUGCUUAAUUGCGAUAACGAACGAGACCUUAACCUGCUAAAUAGCCCGUACUGCUUUGGCAGUUCGCCGGCUUCUUAGAGGGACUAUCGG
rnacentral:rRNA from 1 species